rnacentral:lncRNA from 1 species
AAAUGUGCACACACGCACACACACGAUAAAUAAACUAAUCUAAAAUUAAAAUUACAAGCUAUCAUCAACAUCAAAACAAGGUAAAACAAUCAAAAGCUUGAGAUGACUUCAGUGGGUCCUCAGGGUCUCGUGUAAGUCCACCCUCUGUUGUCUCUUGUCUGUGCCUCUCCCAGUUGUUUCUGUGAGGGAAAAAUGAUUGUGUUAUACAUUUAAAUGAAAUAAAACCCAAGGCCACAACAAUCAGAAAGGAUCCUUCCCUGUUCUCACAUUGGGUUCUCACGCAUGCCCUGUACGAUGGGGCUGCCGUGGAGCGGUCUUGCAUCUGGUGUUAGAUGUGGGCAGCAGAGCUGAAGUGUGGUGUCCCUCUCAGAGGCGGGUCUUAGGGUGAAGAGCCUGAGGAGUCUCCAUGUCUUCGGUUUCCCUGUGCCGGUAACGAAGUGUCUAAAUGGUAACGAUCCAAAGGCUUGUAUCCUCUGUUAUAAUUUUCAUCCUCCUGGAAAUCUUUGUUCUUUAUGAAUUAACUUGGUUUUUUUUGACCAGUAUCUUUUUCUGCAGAGAGAAUAAAUGUUCUUGGGGGCUUUAGUAGGUCAGGAGUUAAAGGAUCCCAUUUAUUACAGAGUUGGUUGUGAUUCUAACAUAAUUUAAAAAGUAUAAGACUCAGGUUGGCUCUACUCUGUUCAUAAAGAUAUAUGACUUAGAUAUGAUUGGUUUAAAAAUAAUCAACUUGGUAAAAUCUCUAUUCUUUGGUUAACAUAGAACUGUUACCUGCUGUUUGCUUUCUGAAAGUUUCCAAAAUCAGAGUCGGCGUUUCUGGGCAGGCUUGGCUCCUCGUGCUGUGCUCCCCCGAAUCUGCAUGGUAUGGUGGACAUUCUGCACCCCACUAGGAAGCGGCCUUUGUGGCAGAACAUUUGGCAGGAAAGCUGUAGAGACAGGUGCAUUCAGAGCAGCCUGGGCACCACCGUGAGGCUUACCGCGUGUCAGAAGGCUGGAAGCACUUGCUGGGAGCCAAAUAUAUUACUCCACUGGAAAAGCCCUCUAGUGCUCUAAGCCUCUUGGUCUCCUCUUCUUAGAUUUGGGUUUUUAUUUCCCUUCCUGUCCCCAUGAAAGAUGAUGAAAGCCACCAUGGAUCCUCGCUGCCGAGUGGUGGGAGGGUUAGCGCCCCCCACCUCUACCCCCAGUCACUGCUCCUCUGUGAUCUUAGAGGCACAGCUGCAAGUCUCUAGGCUGUUAGCGUAGCGCUCUGUUCCUGGUGCAGCUGGAAGCAGGUGGACUCCAGGAGAGAAGCUAGAUCUUAGAAGGAGCACUCCUUUGAGGCCAGAGGCCAGACCAGCACUUGGAGGAAGUCCUGAGUGGACUGGAGGAGUCUUCAUUGGUUGCCCAAGGCUGUAAGUAGCAGAGGCCUCUGCAUGGUAUGAGCUCUUACGAAGCGUUAUGUAGGACUGCUGCCUCCCCAAGGUGAGAAGUUGAUUUUUAACUCGGAUCAACCCACAGGAGUACCUUUGUAUUGGCAAUAUUGAAACACAUUUAGAAAGGUUCCUGGCUGAGAUUGGCUCUAGAACUUGCUGUCGUUUGUAAUUUACUGUUUUCUUAUUGAUUGUGGUACCUCUGACUUUUCUUCUCUAGUAUGAUUCCUUCAGCAUACAAGUUACUCUUACACACAUACGGAAGUGGCUUUUUAGCCAUAUCCUCCUUAGGGUAGAGACUAUUUACCAAAUGUGAAUUCUUCUAAGUGUGAAGUUAUGUAGAAAUUGACUGUGAAAUGUCAAAGAAAAAAAUAAAAGUCACUUACU